rnacentral:lncRNA from 1 species
CCCAAGGCAAUGGAGCGUCAGUACAAAAUAAUGUAUAGAGUAUGAAAGGCAAUAGACUAUGAGGAGGUACCCUGAUAUACUGGAAUAAUCUGAUAAAUAAAUCAAGAAUAAGAUAAGUGUACUGACCUGCUCCUAAAACUAAACUUAUCAAAAAUAAUAAAACAACAACCUAACCAAGCCCCCAUAAGCUCGGCAGGUACAAACAUCACAUAAAAC